GUGUGUGAUCACUUUAGAUGAUUGAUUUGGUAGAGAGUGAGUGGAUGAAUUUGAGAGAAUUUGAGAGUGAAUUUAUUGUUGUUUUUUUUAAGAGAUUUUAAGGUGAAUGAGAUUGGAUUUGGAAGUAAAGUUUGUGAAAAUAAGGGUAGAAUUCAACCAAUGUGAUAUAUAAAAAAUGUUUAAUUGGUAGAAAUUGCAGAUUACUAAAAUAC
rnacentral:lncRNA from 1 species